UAGGGAAUAUUGCACAAUGGAGGAAACUCUGAUGCAGCGACGCCGCGUGAGUGACGAAGGCCUUCGGGUUGUAAAGCUCUGUUCUCAGGGAAAAGAAAGUGAUUGUACCUGAGAAGAAAGGACCGGCUAACUUCGUGCCAGCAGCCGCGGUAAGACGAGGGGUCCAAGCGUUGUUCGGAAUCAUUGGGCGUAAAGCGGGUGUAGGUGGCUCUAUAAGUCAGGAGUGAAAGCCCCGAGCUUAACUCGGGAAGUGCUUUUGAUACUGCAGAGCUUGAAUGUGGGAGAGGAUCGUGGAAUUCCAGGUGUAGUGGUGAAAUACGUAGAUAUCUGGAGGAACACCGGUGGCGAAGGCGGCGAUCUGGCCCAACAUUGACACUGAGACCCGAAAGCGUGGGGAUCAAACAGGAUUAGAUACCCCCGUAGUCCC
rnacentral:rRNA from 1 species